GUCCACGCCCUAAACGAUGAAUGCUUGGUGUUGGCCUUUCGAGGUCAGUGCCGUAGGAAACCUGAUAAGCAUUCCACCUGGGGAGUACGCUCGCAAGGGUGAAACUCAAAGGAAUUGACGGGGCCCGCACAAGCGGUGGAGCAUGUGGUUUAAUUCGAUGCAACGCGAAGAACCUUACCUGGGCUUGAACUGCCAGUGGUAGGACCCUGAAAGGGGAACGACCCGCGAGGGAUCUGGCAGAGGUGCUGCAUGGCUGUCGU
rnacentral:rRNA from 1 species